AGAACGAACGCUGGCGGCAUGCCUAACACAUGCAAGUCGAACGCGUGACUUCGGUCACGAGUGGCGCACGGGUGAGUAACGCGUGGGAACCUGCCCCGAGGUGGGGGAUAACCGAUGGAAACGUCGGCUAAUACCGCAUACGACCUAAGGGUGAAAGAUUUAUCGCCUUGGGAGGGGCCCGCGUCGGAUUAGCUAGUUGGUGGGGUAACGGCCUACCAAGGCAAUGAUCCGUAGCUGGUCUGAGAGGAUGAUCAGCCACACUGGGACUGAGACACGGCCCAGACUCCUACGGGAGGCAGCAGUGGGGAAUAUUGGACAAUGGGCGCAAGCCUGAUCCAGCAAUGCCGCGUGAGUGAUGAAGGCCUUAGGGUUGUAAAGCUCUUUCGGCGGGGACGAUGAUGACGGUACCCGCAGAAGAAGCCCCGGCUAACUUCGUGCCAGCAGCCGC
rnacentral:rRNA from 1 species